UCAAGAUUGGUUUAGAAACAAAUUUGGAGUAGGAUUAAGUUAGGGUUAGGGUAAGGAUUAGGGUUAGAGUUGGUGUUUGGAGUAAAGUUAGUGUUAGUAAAACCGUUGCUUUGUUACGUUUUGUCACUCUGAGGCCAGCGAAAUAAUCUCUUCUGUGAAUGAAGUCACAACACAAAUACAAAUGUCGCGACGCAAGUAAAAAAUGUCAGCAACGCAAGUAAAAAAGUCACAACGCAAGUAAAAAAGUCACAACACAAAUAAAAAAAGUCACAACGCAAGUAAAAAAGUCACAACACAAAUAAAAAAAGUCACAACGCAAGUAAAAAAGUCACAACGCAAAUAAAAAAAGUCACAACGCAAAUAAAAAAUGUCACAACGCAAGUAAAAAAUGUCACAACGCAAAUAAAAAAG